CUACGGGCCGCUGCAGUAGGGAAUCUUCGGCAAUGGACGGAAGUCUGACCGAGCAACGCCGCGUGAGUGAAGAAGGUUUUCGGAUCGUAAAGCUCUGUUGUAAGAGAAGAACGAGUGUGAGAGUGGAAAGUUCACACUGUGACGGUAUCUUACCAGAAAGGGACGGGUAACUACGUGCCAGCAGCCGCGGUAAUACGUAGGUCCCGAGCGUUGUCCGGAUUUAUUGGGCGUAAAGCGAGCGCAGGCGGUUAGAUAAGUCUGAAGUUAAAGGCUGUGGCUUAACCAUAGUACGCUUUGGAAACUGUUUAACUUGAGUGCAGAAGGGGAGAGUGGAAUUCCAUGUGUAGCGGUGAAAUGCGUAGAUAUAUGGAGGAACACCGGUGGCGAAAGCGGCUCUCUGGUCUGUAACUGACGCUGAGGCUCGAAAGCGUGGGGAGCAAACAGGAUUAGAUACCCCAGUAGUC
rnacentral:rRNA from 1 species